rnacentral:lncRNA from 1 species
CGGCCUGCAGUCCGGAACCUCCUGAGACGGCCUGCAGUCCGGAACCUCCUGAGACGGCCUGCAGUCCGGAACCUCCUGAGACGGCCUACAGUCCGGAGUCUCCAGCGGCGGUCUGCAGUCCGGAGUCUCCAGCGGGGGUUUCCAGUUCAGAGCCUCCGGCGAUGAUUCACGGUCCGGUUCCUCUGGCGACGAUCCAUGGUCUGGUUAAACAAAAGCGGAGGGAUCAGCGGGCGGAGCGGGGGCUACGUCACGAACCGGAGCCGCCACCAAGGAUAGAUGCCCACCCGGACCCUCCCCUAUAGGUUCAGGUUUGCGGCCGGGAGUCCGCACCUCCCGGGGGUGUACUGUCACGCCCUGACCUUAGAGAGACGUUUUAUUUCCUCUAGUUUGGUUAGGUCAGGGUGUGAUGUGGGGUGGGCAAUCUAGUUUUUGUAUUUCUUUGUGUUUAGCUGAGUAUGGUUCCUAAUCAGAGGCUAUCGUUGUCUCCGAUUGGGAAUCAUACUUAAGUAAGUGGAAACUUUUUCUCUUUUAAUUCAGCUUUCUUCCCAUUUCUUGUGUUUUCAAAAACAAACCAGGUUGUAGUUUUAAAAUGCAAACCAACUGGAGGAGAUUAUUCAAAAAUGGUAUCUUAAAAUAAGUAACCAAAUCCCACUGGCCCAGGUAUUAUUUCAUCUGUAACCAAAUCCCACUGGCCCAGGUAUUGUUUCAUCUGUAACCAAAUCCCACUGGCCCAGGUAUUGUUUCAUCUGUAACCAAAUCCCACUGGCCCAGGUAGUUUAAUCUGUAACCAAAUCCCACUGGCCCAGGUAGUGUUUCAUCUGUAACCAAAUCCACUGGCCCAGGUAGUGUUUCAUCUGUAACCAAAUCCCACUGGCCCAGGUAGUGUUUCAUCUGUAACCAAAUCCCACUGGCCCAGGUACUGUUUCAUCUGUAACCAAAUCCCACUGGCCCAGGUACUGUUUCAUCUGUAACCAAAUCCCACUGGCCCAGGUACUGUUUCAUCUGUAACCAAAUCCCACUGGCCCAGGUAUUGUUUCAUCUGUCAACUAAUGACACUCAUUGCACUGUGCACCUGAGGCUAUGGCAGGUAGCCUACAUCUAGGUUACAAUAGUAGUCAACAGUUAGUAUGACACAUUACAUUACAGUGUGGCAGGUUAAAGCCUCAGGCUUAGUUUUAUUACUAGACGAGGUCCAUUAUCAGAUCUGACCCAUAUGAUUCAGUCAUUGAAACCCAUGUCACCUUCAAACACACACACAGCACUUCUUUAGUGGGUUUGAGGAGGGUCAGGGCUUGAUGUUUAAUGCGAGCUCAACGUCAGCUCCUUAGUUGGCCAAACUCUCUUUAUUAAUUGCUAUUGUUAGUAUAGUUUUUAUCUCACAAUCUCUAGUUCUCCUUGUCAAUUCAAGCCCCAUGUCAGAGUGGACCUCCCUGGUGCAUUCCAUCAGUCAAAGUUAUGUGUAUAGGGCUAUUCUUUCUGACACUUUCGUAUCCACCGUUCAUGCAGAAUGGCUCCAGCCGUAAGCUGUGUCCUAGUUGUAACAUCAAUAGGAGUAGCAUCAAAGAAGUGCAAGUUCUGUGGUGCAACAACACAGCUAAAGGUCAAGUUAGAGGCCCAAAAAAUGAAGGCUACAGAUGAAUGGGCAAAUAAGACAAUGAAACAUGGAAGAUAUGCAACCUUGGUUAAUGCAGCAAACAAGCUGGUAAGCUUUAUUAUGUUUUCCUCUAAAAAGAUUUCUGCAUUUCUAGCUUAGGGAUAUGAUAGGCCCUAUGCACUUAUUUGUUGUUGUCUCAUUGUGUCAUUUAAGACUGUAAAUCUAAAUGUCAUUAUUUGACUGAUAUUUGUUGUGUUUCUGGAAGUUAUUUUGUCAUUAAUGAUUCCAGGUACAUAGGUUCCACAAGGUAGGAGUGUACCCCCGCUACUCCUCAGCAAGAGGAAGAAGGAUAACAUUUUGUCGUCAACUGCACUGUGUCCUCCCAGUGGUAUGAUGAAUCAGACCUCAAUGGCACCAAUCCAAAGGUUGUAUGAGGCAAUUGUGAAAGUGGCAAUCAACACCCAUACCCCCACACUACAACCAUCCAACCCUCCUGCUGUUGCUGCCCAAGAACUGUCUGAUACAGUUGACCCCCAGGAGACCAGCUACACCUCCAUCCUCAACCAGGUUGAACCCCCGAUAUCCCCCACCACCCAGGAGACCAGCUACACCCCCAUCCUCAACCAGGUUGAACCCCCGAUAUCCCCCACCACCCAGGAGACCAGCUUCACCCGGAUCCCCAACCAGGUUAAACCCCCAAUAACCCCCACCACCCAGGAGACCAGCUACACCCACACCAAACCAAAGAAGACGGAGAGAAAGUCCCGUCACCCUCAAAAACCCCUCCAACUCGCUGAGCAUGACACAGCCAACCCCAUCCAACCCCAUCCUACCCCAUCCAACUCCAUUCUACCCCAUCCAACCCCGACCAAGGAAGAGGAAAUAUGACUACAUGCAAAAAGAGUGUCCAGUGCAUCCGGGGCAAACGUUUUUCCCUAUUCUCAAGAUUCUUGCCAAUAGAACUUCAAAGGAGUGGCAAGAAAUGGGAUGAUGACUGGAUCAAGGCCGAGGACCGCGCUUCUCCAGUUUAACCUACUUUAUGCACAAAUGUAUUCUUCACUCUCGCUUCACAUGUAUCACUGUCAACCAUAAGUGGUUGGCCAAAUUCACCAUGAUUUACCAUUGAAACAUUCAUGGAGCAUCAGCAUGCCAACCAUUUGAUCUCAAUCAGUUUCAUGAGAAUAUGCAUUUAGAUAUUAUUCAUAUAAAGUGAGCUAUAAACGUAUUGCAACAGUGACACAUGUUUUGUUGUUUUGGAUCUGUACUCCAGAACUUUUUAUUUGAAAUUAUACAAUGACUAUGAGGUUAAAGUGCAGACUAUCAGCUUUAAUUUGAGUGUAUUUUCAUCCAUAUCUGGUGAACCGUUUAGAAAUUACAGCACAUUUUGUACUAGCCCCCCCCCCCCAUUUUGGGGGACCAAAAGUAUUGUGAUAAAUUCACUUAUGUGUAUUAAAGUAGUCAG